UUCUUUCUGCUUUAACCUGAUGACUGAUGAUACGCCUACUAACAUACUUCGCCAUUCCUCUUUUCAUACCCGUCAAUAGUACAUGAACGAAUGGUAUGAUAAAUCUUAGUACUUUUGGGAUGCAUUGUAGAAGUGGAAUAAUGUACAUCGUCAAAAUUGCUUUAUUUAAUUCCACACCAUUAGGCAUAAACACUUUGUUCCCUUGCAUAAGCUUGCCAUCUGAUUCUCUAACUCUAAGGUCCUUCUUCUUUAUCCCGUUAUUCCUUGCUUUAAAUAAAUUCUUAAAUUUCUUCGUCAAACGCUUGAGUAUCGAGUACGAUCUACCAAAUGGGUCCAACUUAGAAAUUAGCAAGUAAGGCUUUAUUCUCGAUUUUUGAUACUCAACUUUACUCCAGUAGAUUUCAAAUCCACAAGAAGAUGAACAUAGCAAGCAUACCAAGCAUUAAUUCUCACUGGGGUCUUCCUACUAAAUGCAUCAGCCACAACAUUAGCUUGACCACCCUCGUCACACAAUCAUAAUCACUAAGCAAACUCAUUCCACCUUUGUUGCCUAAGAUUAAGAUACCUCUGAAUAAACAGAUAUUGGGUACUCUUUUGAUUUGUAACAAUCAUGCACUUUUCUUCCCAUUAAAGACAAUGUCUCCAAAUUCUCAAAGCAAAGAUGAUAGCUGCUAAUUCCAAAUUAUAAUUAGGGUAAUUCAUCUUAUGAGAUCCCAAUGGCCAUGAAGCAUAGGCAAUCAUCCUACCAUGUUGCAUCAACGCGCAUUCAAGAACAUUCAAAGAAGUAUUACUAUAGACCACGUAAUUACCACUAUCGUUUGGGAGUGCGAAAACAGAUGCAUGAGUGAGGGAAUACUUUACUUGCUGAAGCUCUACUCACAAUUUUUUUCAUCCCACUCAAACUUAACCUCUUUUUCUCAUCAAUCUCGCCAAGGGCGAAGCAAUAAUUAAAAAAUCUUGGACGAACUAUCGACAAUAUCCUGCUAAUCCGAGAAAACUCUGAACCUCAGUCACGGUUGGCAAUUGUUCCAAAUUCUCAAUCGUUGCUACUCUUUUAAGAAUCCACUUGAAUACCUUAAGUAGAUAUAAUUAAUUUAUCCAACAUUAGCAUUUGCUAAACUUAGCAUACAUCAACGUUCCUUCAAUCUUUGCAACACCAACUUUAAAUAUCUAGCAUGCACUGCUCUAAUCUUAUCAAUCUCGUCAAUGGCAACAACAACAAACCGAUCUAGAUAUCACUGGAAUACUUCCUUCAGUAAGCUCAUAAAAGUAGCAGGUGCAUUCGUCACUCCGUAUGGCAUCCCAACUUGAAAUGACCAUAACGAGUCCUGGAUUCAGUCUUAUGGACAUCCCCACUGUUAAUCUUCAACUAAUAUCAUUCAGACCUCAAGUCAGUCUCAGAAAGUACCCAGGCGCCUCAGAGCUGAUCAAAUAAUAAUUAAUACACAAAACAAUGGAUAACAGCUCUCAAUCGUUACCCGAUUCAAUUACCUAAUAUCAAUGCCUAGCCUUAAUGUCCACUUUCUUCCUCACAAAUAAACCGGAGCUUUUCCAAUGUGAUAUAAUAAGUUGAAUGGAACUUUUAACUAAACCUGAACCAAUUUCUAACAUAGGAUUUGUACCUAAAAACAAUUCAAUAAUGGAACCCACAUCUCUGCCUGGCGGCAAUCUAGGUAAGUCAUCUGGGAAUACACCAAGAAAAUGUCUAACCAUCUUUACAUCUUCCAUACUAUUAGGAUCAACAUCAUUUAGCACCAUAUGAACUCAAUAUCUUGGCAGCCUUUUGAUAACAAUCUUCUUUGCUCUCUCAACAGGAAUAAUGGCAUAACUCACUCCACUUUACUUACCCCCAAAAGUAACCUCUGGUCAUCUAGGUCAACAAAAAUUAACUGAUUCCCCAUAGCAAUCNUCUCUCUCAUUCGAUUCUUUGACUUUCAAGUAGUUUCUUCCACUGAAAGAUUCCUCCAUAAAUUUUCACCAAACUCAGAGUCUUGAAUAUCAUCCGUCCCCAAUUCUAACAAUUUCGAAACACAAGACAUAGCUUUCCACGGCCUUAUGGCGUUACUCUAGGGAACAAACUGAAGGAACCAACAUACCCAAGAAGUUUAACAGAUCCCAAUCUCCUUUUUCCAUAAAACAAAUAAAUAACUGUUGCGCUUAUCUGGAAAGGUUGAUGUUCUCAUACUGAAGUAACAUGCGCUGACGUCACAAGUCAAUCAAUUAUUAUUCAAACUCCAACCUAACUAUUUGGUAUACGAGGAAGCUUGUCCAUGAAAUCCAUAGUAAUAUUCUCCCAUUUCCGCCGUGGAAUGGGAAAUGACUACAUUAUUCCAAAAGACUUAUUUCUUUCUGCUUUAACCUGAUGACUGAUGAUACGCCUACUAACAUACUUCGCCAUUCCUCUUUUCAUACCCGUCAAUAGUACAUGAACGAAUGGUAUGAUAAAUCUUAGUACUUUUGGGAUGCAUUGUAGAAGUGGAAGUACAUCGUCAAAAUUGCUUUAUUUAAUUCCACACCAUUAGGCAUAAACACUUUGUUCCCUUGCAUAAGCUUGCCAUCUGAUUCUCUAACUCUAAGGUCCUUCUUUAUCCCGUUAUUCCUUGCUUUAAAUAAAUUCUUGAAUUUCUUCGUCAAACGCUUGAGUAUCGAGUACGAUCUACCAAAUGGGUCCAACUUAGAAAUUAGCAAGUAAGGCUUCUUCUCGAUUUUUGAUACUCAACUUUACUCCAGUAGAUUUCAAAUCCACAAGAAGAUGAACAUAGCAAGCAUACCAAGCAUUAAUUCUCACUGGGGUCUUCCUACUAAAUGCAUCAGCCACAACAUUAGCUUGACCACCCUCGUCACACAAUCAUAAUCACUAAGCAACUCAUUCCACCUUUGUUGCCUAAGAUUAAGAUACCUCUGAAUAAACAGAUAUUGGGUACUCUUUUGAUUUGUAACAAUCAUGCACUUUUCUUCCCAUAAAGACAAUGUCUCCAAAUUCUCAAAGCAAAGAUGAUAGCUGCUAAUUCCAAAUUAUAAUUAGGGUAAUUCAUCUUAUGAGAUCCCAAUGGCCAUGAAGCAUAGGCAAUCAUCCUACCAUGUUGCAUCAACGCGCAUUCAAGAACAUUCAAAGAAGUAUUACUAUAGACCACGUAAUUACCACUAUCGUUUGGGAGUGCGAAAACAGAUGCAUGAGUGAGGGAAUACUUUACUUGCUGAAGCUCUACUCACAAUUUUUCAUCCCACUCAAACUUAACCUCUUUUCUCAUCAAUCUCGCCAAGGGCGAAGCAAUAAUUAAAAUCUUGGACGAACUAUCGACAAUAUCCUGCUAAUCCGAGAAAACUCUGAACCUCAGUCACGGUUCGCAAUUGUUCCAAAUUCUCAAUCGUUGCUACUCUUUUAAGAAUCCACUUGAAUACCUUAAGUAGAUAUAAUUAAUUUAUCCAACAUUAGCAUUUGCUAAACUUAGCAUACAUCAACGUUCCUUCAAUCUUUGCAACACCAACUUUAAAUAUCUAGCAUGCACUGCUCUAAUCUUAUCAAUCUCGUCAAUGGCAACAACAACAAACCGAUCUAGAUAUCACUGGAAUACUUCCUUCAGUAAGCUCAUAAAAGUAGCAGGUGCAUUCGUCACUCCGUAUGGCAUCCCAACUUGAAAUGACCAUAACGAGUCCUGGAUUCAGUCUUAUGGACAUCCCCACUGUUAAUCUUCAACUAAUAUCAUUCAGACCUCAAGUCAAUCUCAGAAAGUACCCAGGCGCCUCAGAGCUGAUCAAAUAAUCAUUAAUACACAACAAUGGAUAACAGCUCUCAAUCGUUACCCGAUUCAAUUACCUAAUAUCAAUGCCUAGCCUUAAUGUCCACUUUCUUCCUCACAAAUAAACCGGAGCUUUUCCAAUGUGAUAUAAUAAGUUGAAUGGAACUUUUAACUCAACCUGAACCAAUUUCUAACAUAGGAUUUGUACCUAAAAACAAUUCAAUAAUGGAACCCACAUCUCUGCCUGGCGGCAAUCUAGGUAAGUCAUCUGGAAAUACACCAAGAAAAUGUCUAACCAUCUUUACAUCUUCCAUACUAUUAGGAUCAACAUCAUUUAGCACCAUAUGAACUCAAUAUCUUGGCAGCCUUUUGAUAACAAUCUUCUUUGCUCUCUCAACAGGAAUAAUGGCAUAACUCACUCCACUUUACUUACCCCCAAAAGUAACCUCUGGUCAUCCAGGUCAACAAAAAUUAACUGAUUCCCCAUAGCAAUCUAGCUUGACACAAUUAUACUGCACCCACUGGUGCCAAAAAAAUCACCUCAAAAUCCAUAAUAUCCAACGGAAUAAAAUUCACUGACAUGACAUUUUUCACCAUCACUGGACACCCUUAAUAAACCAAAUCAACAUAAAGUGCCUUACUUGUUUACUUACUUAACGAA
rnacentral:lncRNA from 1 species